UACGUAGGGGGCAAGCGUUGUCCGGAUUCACUGGGCGUAAAGCGCGUGUAGGCGGCCUCUCAAGUCGGGUGUGAAAGCCCGGGGCUCAACCCCGGGAUGCCGCUCGAAACUGGGAGGCUUGAGGACGGAAGAGGGGAGUGGAAUUCCUGGUGUAGCGGUGAAAUGCGUAGAGAUCAGGAGGAACACCCGUGGCGAAGGCGGCUCCCUGGUCCGUUUCUGACGCUGAGACGCGAAAGCGCGGGGAGCGAACGGGAUUAGAUACCCCGGUAGUCCGCGCCGUAAACGAUGGUCACUAGGUGUCCGCGGUAUCGACCCCGCGUGUGCCGGCGCUAACGCAUUAAGUGACCCGCCUGGGGAGUACGGCCGCAAGGUUGAA
rnacentral:rRNA from 1 species